rnacentral:piRNA from 1 species
UAUGCUGUGUAGCCCAGUUAUUUUAGCAUUU